rnacentral:rRNA from 1 species
UACGUAGGCAGCGAGCGUUGUUCGGAGUUACUGGGCGUCAAGAGUGCGUAGGCGGUGUUCCAAGUCUGUUGUGAAAUCUCCCGGCUCAACUGGGAGGGUGCGGCGGAAACUGGGACGCUGGAGUACGGGAGAGGUAAGCGGAAUUCCUGGUGUAGCGGUGAAAUGCGUAGAUAUCAGGAGGAACACCUGCGGUGUAGACGGCUUACUGGACCGUAACUGACGCUGAGGCACGAAAGCGUGGGUAGCAAACAGG